UAUCUUUGAGACAGAAAGAUGCAGGAC
rnacentral:piRNA from 3 species